rnacentral:rRNA from 1 species
GAGGAAGUAAAAGUCGUAACAAGGUUUCCGUAGGUGAACCUGCGGAAGGAUCAUUAUCGAAAUCGAAAGCCUAGGAGAAAGGGGGGGGGAUGCGGGGCUGUCGCUGGCCUCUUUGGCAUGUGCACGCGUUGGUCCCUCUCCCGCCUUCGAAGCUUUCAACUUCUCAACACCUGUGUGCACCCGCUGUAGGUCCUUCGGGACCUAUGUCUUCUCUUCCGAACUCGCAUGUCUACAGAAUGUGUAUGCGUCGCGUUGGCGACUGCGAAACCUUUGUACAACUUUCAGCAAUGGAUCUCUUGGCUCUCGCAUCGAUGAAGAACGCAGCGAAUCGCGAUAAGUAAUGUGAAUUGCAGAUUUUCCGUGAAUCAUCGAAUCUUUGAACGCACCUUGCGCUCCUUGGUAUUCCGAGGAGCAUGCCUGUUUGAGUGUCAUCGAAAUAUCGGACCGAAUGACUUCGAUGCUGUCGGAGCUCGGUUUCGGAUGUUGGGAGUGGUGCGGGCGGCAACGUCGGCUCUCCUCAAAAGCAUUAGCUGUGGGCGCGAGCCUCGCAUGGCACGGCCGCUUUGACGUCGUAAUGAUCGUCGUGGGCUUGGAAGUGCGUGGGUUGACGUGUCUCCACGCUUCGAAACCUUCUGCGAGUCCGUCCGUCGUCCGGACGGUCGCACGUAUCGAUGCUUGACCUCAAAUCAGGUAGGACUACCCGCUGAACUUAAGCAUAUCAAUAAGCCGGAGGA